UACGUAGGGUGCGAGCGUUGUCCGGAAUUAUUGGGCGUAAAGCGCACGUAGGCGGAUUGUUAAGUCAGGGGUGAAAUCCCGGAGCUCAACUCCGGAACUGCCUUUGAUACUGGCAAUCUUGAGGCUGGAAGAGGUUAGUGGAAUUCCCAGUGUAGAGGUGAAAUUCGUAGAUAUUGGGAAGAACACCAGUGGCGAAGGCGGCUAACUGGUCCAGAUCUGACGCUGAGGUGCGAAAGCGUGGGGAGCAAACAGG
rnacentral:rRNA from 1 species